GUGGGGAAUCUUCCGCAAUGGACGAAAGUCUGACGGAGCAACGCCGCGUGAGUGAUGACGGCCUUCGGGUUGUAAAGCUCUGUUAAUCGGGACGAAAGGUCCUCUUGUGAAUAAUUAGAGGAAUUGACGGUACCGGAAUAGAAAGCCACGGCUAACUACGUGCCAGCAGCCGCGGUAAUACGUAGGUGGCAAGCGUUGUCCGGAAUUAUUGGGCGUAAAGCGCGCGCAGGCGGAUUAGUCAGUCUGUCUUAAAAGUUCGGGGCUUAACCCCGUGAUGGGAUGGAAACUGCUAAUCUAGAGUAUCGGAGAGGAAAGUGGAAUUCCUAGUGUAGCGGUGAAAUGCGUAGAUAUUAGGAAGAACACCAGUGGCGAAGGCGACUUUCUGGACGAAAACUGACGCUGAGGCGCGAAAGCCAGGGGAGCGAACGGG
rnacentral:rRNA from 1 species